AUGCAGCAAAUCUACACACAGAGCCAUGAAGAGUUUGAAGUGUUCACCACUGUUCUGUCGCCUCAAGUUUGUCGGAAGAGAGUGAUUUUCAAGCACCAAGGGGAAAUGGUGGUUGUGGCAGCAGAAUACAGCGCAGACUGUGAUGAAGAGCUGAGUGUCCGUGCCGGUGAGGUGGUGUUGCUGCUGUAUCAGGAGAAUGCUGACUGGUGUUAUAUCCGACUUCAGAACGGAAAGGAAGGAUACCUGCCCACAGCCUGCUUCACUACGACGCAGGAGUCAUUGAGGCCCAUUGUGACUCAGGCAUCGCAGAGCUUUACACAAACGUCAUCUAAAGAUCGGAUUGGCUGCUCUGGAGGGCGUUCUCUUAAACUGCUGCGGCGAGCGUCUCUGUCAGGAGUGCCAGGUUCACCUCGAUUGCUUCAGCGGCUGCUCUCUCGUCGACGUAGUGACGGACAUGCUGUACGUUUGAUCGGCUCCAUCAAUCCUGCAUUUCAUCCUGACUGA
ensembl:lncRNA